rnacentral:lncRNA from 10 species
AUUUAAUUAGACACUGCCCUGAAACAUACACAUACACACACACACACACACAAAGUCUAUGGAUAUUGUCAUAAAAAACUGAUACUACUCUUGAGUCAGUUGAGCCAAUCAUUUUCCUCACCCCCAGGCCAAAAAUGUAAUCUGUAUUAAGAUUUACAGAUAGGCUAGGGAAGUAUUUUCCUGGUUAACAGCCAUUUAAAAAUACAAAAAUUAUAUAAUAACCAAAUUUACUUGAUGUUAUGCACCCAGUGGUUUUGUGCUCAAGAUAUUAGAUGAAGAGUUGGAGGCCCCAGCAGUAGAAGGGCAGAAGAUAUUCUCAAUUAAGAUUAAUCCUCAACCUUUUAGCUUGAUAGUAUUGCUACUUUCUGAUUCUGAUGUUAUAAUUUAUGUUCCCAAGGCUUAUUCUAUCCCUUUUCAUAAAUUGAAGAAAUAUAGCCUAGGCCUUCAUUGGCAGAAAUAUAUGUGUAUAAAAGUACAAAAUAUAGCUUGGUACCUGGGAUGUUUCUUUUGUGUUUCUCUGAUUAUUUGAUAUUUGAAUAGAUAGCUUUAGAAGCUAAAUCUGAAGCAAACUCCAUUGCAUAUAUCAUUAGAGAGAACUGAAGAGCUUAGCCAGUUAACUUCCACCUCCUUUGGACUAAAUAAGGAAGUCUUCCUGACACUCCAAUCUAUACUGAAGAGCAAUUCUUUUUAUGGCAAAGCUUUUGAACUUUGUUUGAUGCCUGCUUGCCUUUCACAUGCUUAAUAUGUAUUCAUCAGUCACAUCAGCAGGAUAGGGAAGCAUGCCCCAAGGAAUGGUUGAGAAUCACUGUUUGAUAUAGUGAUAGUAAUAUAUCAUGUGGAUGCAAUUAUUAACUAUCAUCUGAAUGAGACAAGCACAAUGAUCAGUAUUUCUCUUCUGUUUAUAUUUCAGUGCUGAAAGUAUAUGAUUAUUUACACCCCACCUGAUUCUGAAAAAAUGAUUUGAGGUGGCCUCUACAAUAAAUUCAGUCCAGCAAUAUAAAGGUAGUCUGAAGAAACUGGACUAAAGUAAAGCCGCAUCACAAGAUGAAAAGAUCCUGGAUACCUGAGUCAUCAGUCAGAGAAAAGUCACCAAGUAGAGCCUACUUGGCUUACAAUGGUCUGUGACAUGGGUGAAAAUUAAUCAUUUAGGUUGUUAAGCUAAUGAGAUGUUUUGUUAGAGUAGCUCAUGCUAAUCACUCUGACUAACAGAGUGAUGAUGGUGUGACAUGAAAUAAAGAAUAUGAUU